rnacentral:tRNA from 1 species
GGCUGACCCCGGAAUUAAGAGCACUCCCUUGGUAAGGGAGAGGCCCGGAGUUCAAAUCUCCGCGGCAGCACCA